ACUACGGGUGGCAGCAGUGGGGAAUAUUGGACAAUGGGCGAAAGCCUGAUCCAGCCAUGCCGCGUGUGUGAAGAAGGCCUUCGGGUUGUAAAACACUUUCAGUGGGGAAGAAAGCCUUGGGGCUAAUACCCUCGAGGAAGGACAUCACCCACAGAAGAAGCACCGGCUAACUCCGUGCCAGCAGCCGCGGUAAUACGGAGGGUGCGAGCGUUAAUCGGAAUUACUGGGCGUAAAGCGCGCGUAGGCGGUCUGAUAAGCCGGUUGUGAAAGCCCCGGGCUCAACCUGGGAACGGCAUCCGGAACUGUCAGGCUAGAGUGCAGGAGAGGAAGGUAGAAUUCCCGGUGUAGCGGUGAAAUGCGUAGAGAUCGGGAGGAAUACCAGUGGCGAAGGCGGCCUUCUGGACUGACACUGACGCUGAGGUGCGAAAGCGUGGGUAGCAAACAGGAUUAGAUACCCGGGUAGUC
rnacentral:rRNA from 1 species